GACGUAGGAGGCGAGCGUUGUCCGGAUUCAUUGGGCGGAAAGAGCACGCAGGCGGUUUGGCAAGUCGGAUGUGAAAACCCGAAGCUCAACUUCGGGCCUGCAUCCGAAACUGCCCGACUAGAGGUAGGUAGGGGAGAUCGGAAUUCCUGGUGUAGCGGUGAGAUGCGCAGAUAUCAGGAGGAACACCGGUGGCGAAGGCGGAUCUCUGGGCCUUACCUGACGCUCAGGUGCGAAAGCUAGGGGAGCGAACAGG
rnacentral:rRNA from 1 species